GGGCAAGUCUGGUGCCACCAGCCGCGGUAAUUCCAGCUGCAAUAGUGUAAAAUAAAGUCGUUGUGGUUAAAAAUCUCGUAGUUGAACCUUGGGCCUGGCUGGCGGGUCCGCCCGUCGCGUGUACUGGUCCGGCCGGGCCUUUCCCUGAGUGGAUCCCAUGCCCUUCAUUGGGUGUGGCGGGGAAACAGGACUUCCACUGUGAAAAAAUAGAGUGCUCCAGGCAGGCGUAUGCUCGAAUACAUUAGCAUGGAAUAAUAGAAUAGGACGUGUGGUUCUAUUUUGUUGGUUUGUAGGACCGCCGUAAUGAUUAAUAGGGACAGUCGGGGGCAUCAGUAUUCAAUUGUCAGAGGUGAAAUUCUUGGAUUUAUUGAAGACUAACUACUGCGAAAGCAUUUGCCAAGGAUGUUUUCAUUAAUCAGGAACGAAAGUUAGGGGAUCGAAGACGAUCAGAUACCGUCGUAGUGUUAACCAUAAAAUAUGCCGACUAGGGAUCGGACGGUGUUAUUUUUUGACCCGUUGGGCACCUUACGGGAAACAAGGG
rnacentral:rRNA from 1 species